rnacentral:rRNA from 1 species
UAACAGGAUUAGAUACCCUGGUAGUCCACGCCGUAAACGAUGUCUACUCGGAGUUUGGUGUCUUGAACACUGGGCUCUCAAGCUAACGCAUUAAGUAGACCGCCUGGGGAGUACGGCCGCAAGGUUAAAACUCAAAUGAAUUGACGGGGGCCCGCACAAGCGGUGGAGCAUGUGGUUUAAUUCGAUGCAACGCGAGGAACCUUACCUACUCUUGACAUCCAGAGAAUUCGCUAGAGAUAGCUUAGUGCCUUCGGGAACUCUGAGACAGGUGCUGCAUGGCUGUCGUCAGCUCGUGUUGUGAAAUGUUGGGUUAAGUCCCGCAAUGAGCGCAACCCCUAUCCUUAUUUGCCAGCACGUAAUGGUGGGAACUCUAGGGAGACUGCCGGUGAUAAACCGGAGGAAGGUGGGGACGACGUCAGGUCAUCAUGGCCCUUACGAGUAGGGCUACACACGUGCUACAAUGGCGAGUACAGAGGGUUGCAAAGCCGCGAGGUGGAGCUAAUCUCACAAAGCUCGUCGUAGUCCGGAUUGGAGUCUGCAACUCGACUCCAUGAAGUCGGAAUCGCUAGUAAUCGUGGAUCAGAAUGCCACGGUGAAUACGUUCCCGGGCCUUGUACACACCGCCCGUCACACCAUGGGAGUGGGCUGCAAAAGAAGUGGGUAGCUUAACCUUCGGGGGGGCGCUCACCACUUUUGUGGUUCAUGACUGGGGUGAAGUCGUAACAAGGUAACCA